UAACGUAGGGUGCAAGCGUUAAUCGGAAUUGAUCUGGGGUACGGUAAAGCGUGCGCAGGCGGUUCUGUAAGUCUGUCGGUGAAACUCCCCGGGCUUAACCUGGGAAUUGCGAUUGGAGAGACUGGCAAGGCUAGAAUCUGGCAGAGGGGGGAUAGAAUUCCGACGUGUAGCAGUGAAAUGCGUAGAGAUGUGGAGGAACACCGAUGGCGAAGGCAGCCCCCUGGGAUCAAGAUUGGACGCUAC
rnacentral:rRNA from 1 species